rnacentral:other from 2 species
AGCUCCCUGCCGUGUACGUUUAAGGCUGAAAUUCUUUGAACCAAUAAUCAAACCAGGUUGUUGACUAAAGUGAUACUGUUGUGCGUACCCUAAAUGGGUUUGCCUGAUGUAUCCGGGAAACGACCACCUUGAACCUUAAGGUUCAAGAUGAUGGUCUUGACGGCAUAAGCGGGGAGCCC